GGCUUGUCUGAAGGUAGUGAGUUAUCUCAAUUGAUUGUUCACAGUUACACAUCAAACUCCUUAUUCUACUCUUUCCCCCUUCUCACUACCACACUUAACUAGUCUUUA
rnacentral:Y_RNA from 1 species